UACGAAGGGGGCUAGCGUUGCUCGGAAUCACUGGGCGUAAAGGGUGCGUAGGCGGGUUUUUAAGUCAGGGGUGAAAUCCUGGAGCUCAACUCCAGAACUGCCUUUGACACUGAAGAUCUUGAGUCCGGGAGAGGUGAGUGGAACUGCGAGUGUAGAGGUGAAAUUCGUAGAUAUUCGCAAGAACACCAGUGGCGAAGGCGGCUCACUGGCCCGGUACUGACGCUGAGGCACGAAAGCGUGGGGAGCAAACAGG
rnacentral:rRNA from 1 species